UUAUUGGGCGUAAAGAGCUCGUAGGCGGCUUGUCACGUCGGUUGUGAAAGCCCGGGGCUUAACCCCGGGUCUGCAGUCGAUACGGGCAGGCUAGAGUUCGGUAGGGGAGAUCGGAAUUCCUGGUGUAGCGGUGAAAUGCGCAGAUAUCAGGAGGAACACCGGUGGCGAAGGCGGAUCUCUGGGCCGAUACUGACGCUGAGGAGCGAAAGCGUGGGGAGCGAACAGGAUUAGAUACCCUGGUAGUCCACGCCGUAAACGGUGGGCACUAGGUGUGGGCAACAUUCCACGUUGUCCGUGCCGCAGCUAACGCAUUAAGUGCCCCGCCUGGGGAGUACAGCCGCAAGGCUAAAACUCAAAGGAAUUGACGGGGGCCCGCACAAGCGGCGGAGCAUGUGGCUUAAUUCGACGCAACGCGAAGAACCUUACCAAGGCUUGACAUACACCGGAA
rnacentral:rRNA from 1 species